ACUCGAUCAAUUUGUAAGUUCUUUACUAACAGGCUCACGCUUGUGAGCCUGCUUGGAAAGCACAAAUUUGUGGCUAACAUCAGCAACAGCUGUGAUGGAUUUAAAUCCUGAAUAUUUGUCCAGAUAGUCGAGGCCCAGCCGCAAUAUCGCGCAUCUGAGUGUAGUGUGUCUAGGCUGCUGCUGUCGUCGAAAAAAACACGAGACAUAUGUGGACCCGUACGAUUCCGGAAGAAAACCUUUUACUUUGGUCAGGAAACCAAUAAAUGGCCAUAACACAAAUGAAAAAUAAAAGCACCUAGGCCGUAAACAACAAAAGCGAUGAAGCUCAACAAAGUACGGCAGAUGCAAUAGAAAACUCCACCAUCCGGCCGGACAAACACCGGAGCAGAAUCUACAAACAGUAUGAACACCGGGACAGAACAACCAGCACCACUAUAUCAACAGCAGCAGCAGUAAACAUCACUCUGGCGGAAGAAAACACCAUCAGUCUGCCAGUUCCUCAGCGACGGUUACAUCCAGACACCAUGCAGCCACCAACUAUCGUACCGGACAUCUCCCGGAUGGUUCACAAGAAGUGAACCAGCUUAGCAGCAGCCACAGCCGCGAAAUCAGAAUUUCUUCUCCCAAAACGGAAGCGCACCAGGCGGCGGAAGUGGCUCAGGCGGCGGAAGUGGCUCAGGCGAUUGGAUGGAACAGAGUGGAAUUGAUGUUGGUUCUAGUGUUUCCAUUAUGAUCUAAUCUGUCCAACCCAUGAGGGAACGGAUGCAACAGCCUACCUCAUGCUGGAAAAGAACGAUCAACCUUUUAAUACAAUAACCAGAAUAAAAAAUAGUCCCUGAAAAUCUUCUGAAACGACGAGGUGGAACAUUUGUUUUUAUCACGGCGGAACCAGAGGAGUCAGCGUUGGAAACAGCAACUAAUUAGUCAGCAUCUUUAGAAUUCAGAAUUGCAUCCGUGGCCCAGGUUCCAAUCAUGAGGGCCUUGGAGGUAAAAAUCACAUGCUGAAAGCAUACAUCUGAUUCUCGAAACUGCCGGAAUUCAGCGAAGAGUUGUUAUCCGUAACGAUGUCGAGAUAUUCUUAUUUCUGGAAGUGAGCGCUAACAAGAGUAUCGACGCCACAAUCGAAUAAGUUCCCCCCCGCCCGCGGAAGAGGCACUUACAAAAACGCCUGCGGUGAUAUGGUGACACCAUACAAAUCAGAUGGACACCAUUAGAUAGUAAAAAUACGGUCGACUUAUA